GUAAGGGCAGUGCUCACCGGGCGCGCGUUCGUGCCCAGGAACGAGGCCGCCACACCCGGAAGCAGUUUCCGCUCUGUCUGUGGGAGGAGGAGGUCGUCAGUUACCUCAGGUUUCCAAGGACCUUCUCAGAAAUAAUUCGAGUAACACUCCAUUCCUCUCCAAGUGGUUGGUGCCUUAGCAGAAAGCUGGUGUUACUGGACACUGGCAGUUUUCUCCCCACCCCUUUUUGUAUUUGGAAAAGCCCAGAAACGGUUUCCAAAGAGCGAUUCUCCUGGCCGGAGACCUGGCUGCUAGGAGAGAGACACCGCCGUGAGCACAGCCCCUGCGCAGUGAGUGCGCUGCUGACUGAUUUUUAUUUCACCCUCUUGACAGGGAUCGCCCGGUCGCAAAAGCAGUGUGUGCCUGGCCCCGCGUGGGUGAUUCCCCAGCCCUCGAACUGACUUACUGGUAACUGAAGGACAUCCCCCUCAUGAGCAGCACAGUUGGAGCCUGAGAAAGGGCAGGACAGUAAAUGAAUUGAACCUUGCCAGGAGGGGACGACGGCUGAUUCCCGGGGGUCACCUUAUACUCGGUGUGGGCGCAGCUCGAGUUGCGGCUCCAACAAGAGCAGAAAUGUAGAGCUAGAGGUAUUUUGGUUCAUUUCUGGGGAUUGGACCCAGGGCCUGACGAACAUUAGGCAAGCACUUUGUUGCUGAGCUGUACUUCCAGUCCCAAGUUUCAGAAUGUUUACAUGUUGACAGCUACUUAAUUAGAAAAGUUUUCAUAGGUGGGUCCAUCAGCAGGCCACCAUCAGUCCCCUGUGCAACAUGUGCAGUGAGAAACAACUGGUGUAUAGCACAGUGUGUACCUCAGAACCUCAGGUGGGAAGCGGGACAGAAAGCUGGAGGCCGAGUGAGGAGACCCAGAUCCCGGGCCUCCACCCCAAAGGCCCAUGCAAUUUGGCUCACACCCCACCCUGCACACCCACUGCUACCACACUGCUGAGGCACAGUGAGGCUUCCACACCAGUGUGGUGCCAGGCCUCUGAAGGGUGGGCUGUGCCUCCUGCACCCACGAGUCUGCUGACAUCACCCCAGCAACCUGUGGCGCUCCCCACAUCCCAGCCAUCGAAGGACGGAGCAGGGUUAAGGAUCAGCACCAAUGCAUCCCAACGUCCCUUAAGGGCAGUUUUCUGCAGCAAAGGACAUGGGAAAUGUGAGAGCCACAGUAGAGGCAGCUCAGUUACAACUGGUUUUUGCAAGAGGAUGCAGAGGGUUAGUGAGUGUGUUCUUCCCCUCGUCUUGCAUGUGCUAGAGGGAGUGGGAACAUUCACCUUGUUGUCCAGUGACUCAGGGCCAGUUUUCCUUAGAUAGCUCUAUGGGCUGGGGAGCACUGUAUAGCUCAGAUUUAGCACUUCAAAGCAAUAAAGUAAAAUAAAAUAAUAAAUAGCUCAUGGUUUUACAUGUUGCCCCAAGCAGUUAUGACUUGUGGUUUGAAAUAAAAAAUUAUAUCUAGCAUAAAAAGAGAAAGAGGGGUCAGGAUGUAGCCCAGCAGCACAGACACCUGCCUGGCAAGCUUGAGGUCCUGAGUUCGACCUCAAGGUCCUUUAGGUCUCCGGUACCAAAUAAAUAAAGAGAGAAAAAGGGAAUUAAAUUAAUUUAUAUGCACCAUGUUUGAACAUUAAAAGAGUUUGUGAUUAGCAACAGCAAACACAAAACAGUACAUCCUUGCCAACCACGCUGCAGAUGAGCUGGGCAGUGGGCAGAAAAGUGUUUCUAUGAAGCCAGCCGUUUUGUGGGCCUUUUAAAUGUAUUGAGCAGUAUAUUAUUUUUUUCCAGUACAAGUAGAGCAUGAGACACACUCGCUUAAAUAUAAGAUAAAGUGAGCCAGGCAUGGUGGCACACACCUG
ensembl:lncRNA